UGGAGCUGCAAUCAUCUU
rnacentral:snRNA from 1 species